rnacentral:rRNA from 1 species
UGGGGAAUUUUGGACAAUGGGCGCAAGCCUGAUCCAGCCAUGCCGCGUGAGUGAAGAAGGCCUUCGGGUUGUAAAGCUCUUUCGGCGGGGACGAAACGGUUCAUGCCAACACCAUGGACUAAUGACGGUACUCGCAGAAGAAGCACCGGCUAACUACGUGCCAGCAGCCGCGGUAAUACGUAGGGUGCAGGCGUUAAUCGGAAUUACUGGGCGUAAAGCGUGCGCAGGCGGCUCCUUAAGUCAGAUGUGAAAUCCCCGGGCUUAACCUGGGAACUGCGUUUGAAACUGAGGGGCUUGAGUGUGGAAGAGGGGGGUGGAAUUCCAGGUGUAGCAGUGAAAUGCGUAGAGAUCUGGAGGAACACCGAUGGCGAAGGCGGCUCACUGGAUCGGUACUGACGCUGAGGUGCGAAAGCGUGGGG